rnacentral:lncRNA from 1 species
UAUACUUUUUUCUAGCACCUUAUAUUUUAUCAUGUUUAUAUUUUUGUAUAAUUAUCUUGAAUUUUGCAAAAAAUAUAGUCUAAAUAUGAUUUUUUACGUGUGUAAUUUUUUGAAUUUGCCAUUUUUAUAUUUUGUUGUAUUAUCUGUAUUGUAUUAUCUGUUUUGGAGUAUGUGAUGUCAUUGUAACAUAAUAGUGAUGCCACAAUAAUUCCAACAUACAAUGUAACAAUGAUGUCAUAGUGGCAUUAUACAUGGGAAUUUUUGUUACUUCACAUGCAACAAGAACUUGAUAUUUUGUGAUGUCAUUUCUUGCUAUGCCAUAAUGAUGUCAAGCACUGGUAACAUUCUGGAAUGACAUUAUUGUUACAUUGUAUGUUGGAACUAUUGUGACAUCAUUCCUUCCUUAUGCUUUGCACCAUCAACAACAGUCAGAACAACAGGCUGAAGGAUUUAAAAAUAUACUUUAUUAAAUUAUGUACCCAAAAUGCCCAUUCCAGGAUGAUUUUGACCUAGUGUAUCCUACGAUUACCUAUGGGAAUUACUCUGCAAAGUUUCGCCCCAAUAGGUCAACUGGUGUGGGAACUUAUGCAGAACAGAUAGAUAGAAAGAACAACCUGAAUGUGCCUUAUCCCCUGAGAGCAAUUUUGAUUUUUGGUACUCUAUAUUACCUAAAGAUUCAUGAGAAGUUGCUCUAGAAAGUUGUUUCAGUAGGUCAAACAGUGCAAAAUCAUAUAUGAAAGACAGACAGACAGCAAACAUUGCAUUUUAUAUGCAUGCACUCCUCUAGUUAUGAACAUUUGUACUUAUGAACAUGAAAUUUCAUUUUCAAAUUUCACAAAAUUUCAAAAAAC